GACACAAAGUUUCCAGCCAAUCUCUAUCUCGCCUUUCCUCUCUCCCUGAUACCUUCCUCACCCGUCACGCGCGCACGAACGCUCGCCGCCGCCAUCAACCUCCUCGGCGGUGCGGGCAUCACCACCAUCGUCAACCUGGCGGAGGAGGCCAAGCUCGCAUGCGAGGGGGUCAAGGCGCCUGCUACAUUGUGAGGAAGUCGUGUGACAGCGUGCCUAUCGGAGACAAGGCUGGACAACGAGGAAGACGUUGGUGGGGAAGUGGAGAACCAAGCUCUGUUUGUUGCCUUGCCUUCUCUUCUCUGGUUCUCCGUUUGCACGCACGCUCAUUCUCGUGGCACAACUCGGCGAGCCCCGCCGCCUCCUCUCUACGACAUGUGCCCAGAUCUACCUUCGCCAGUUCCUUCACCAGCGAUGAGCACCAACCCGGUAUGUGCACUCCUCUUCCCUUCGCGUUGAAUCUGGGUCCUGCCCUCCAUCUCUGUCCCUAGGUCAAAUCAAAUCGACCCCAUCUAUCUCAAUUACUGCCAUCGAGAGAGAGAGAGAGAGAGCCCCACCGUCGAGUGGCACCGCCUCCAAACCCUAGCCCCUUCUUUGCGCAUGGCUAUCGUUGUCACUGUCGGGCCCCCAAGACGCCCGCCUCCUAUGCAGCACGCGCCAUGCCGCUCUCCUCUAUAGGUGAGAUGGUAUCGUCCUUGUUCGCUAGGGAGUAGCUGGAAUGCACUUAGAUUUGGGUCUGGAAUAUGGCUACCGAUUCCUGGAUCUGGCUUGUGUUACAGAUUGUGAGCAUGCGGUAGUAACUGACUGAACAAGAAAAACACAUGUAUUCAGUUGCAGUUGGUUUCUCAAGCCAUUCUCUUUCAAAUGGCACUCAUGUAACAAAACAACUAUGAUGACUUUGUUAUUGAUGGCUAUAUCUGUUUUUCCUUAUUACUAAUUAGGGUCAUUGUCCAGUUACGUAGAGAUGAAAGGGCACCUGAAGUUUUAGUGAGGUAUAAGAUUUGCUCUUGACAUUGCAAUGUGUCUGAAUACUCUAUCAAAUAUAUAUUGUUUAGAUUGUCUAUCCUUUUGAUAAAAUUCUAUGUACCUCGCAGUUUGCAAAAUAUUGACUGAACUGAAACAGGUAGUGCUACACUUUUUUAUACUCAUGUAGAAAAAAAUAUACUCAUUACUCACUUGUUCAUCAGAAUGGAAGGAUUGUUCUUUUUGCUGUGGAAGUAUAUAUGUUUUCAGAUAACAAUUUUGUAUCGAUUCAGCUGGAUACAAUUCAAACAGCACUAUGAAGCUUGUUUCUGCUCCUCUACAAUUGAACGCAACCGAACAGAGUGUUCCGGGUUUGUUUCCUUGUUCAUGAGACUGAAUUAUCUCUGAGUGCAAAGCUGAGCCAAUCAUUCAUGGAAAUUUGUCACCGAAGUAAGCUCAUUAAUCAUUAUUUUGUAGUUGAAUUAGUGUAAGACUAUAAUAUAUAAGUGGCUACAUGUGUUUUAUACCCUAUCAUACUUCGGUAAGGUAGCAAAAACAACGAUGAAUGACAACUUAAAAGGUGACAGGUCUUGGAUCACUGAGUUUGACUAAGGUUUCUGAAGGUAAAAUACUUAUAGAAUUAGACAGUAUGUUAUACUUACUCGGAGGUGUGUUUUCCUGAUUAGUUAUUGUCUAGAUUGUUUAUGUCCAUAAAGAGCAAGGUGAACAGAAUUGCUGACAUAAUUUUAAGAAACGAGUGAUGGCUAUAUUGUCAUAACAUGGGGGGUCGACAGAGACGUGCCCUUCUCCGCGACCACCAAACAGGUCUUUGAUGUGGCUGUUGUGCUCUCUAAGAACAUGCAUGGGUUCCAGCUUCAUCUCGCCCGAGCACCUCGCCAUCGCGCUCUUCACCCUCGACGAUCCAACUACCAACAUCCUCCUAAGGAGGUAGGUUCUGUUAUUUAUUUUCCAUUGCAACUGAUUUUCAGAUCCAGUGCAAUCGAUAUCAUUGACCUAUUGAUCACAUUACCGUCUAUAAUAAAUACAAUAGUAUGUUUAUUCUCCCUUCCGAGCUAAUAACCCUCCCACGUCGCCCCUUCCGUCGCUCCACCCACCGGAGCCACCACCGAACCUAGAGCGCGCCUUCCCUGGACGAUGUCUCCCACGCGCCUGCGCGGCUACGCCAGAGUGCGUCGGUCCUGGUCGCUCUGGGAAGAAGCUACACGUGGCGCAGAUUUACUCCGUGCUCCCCACCGAGAUGCAGCGACGCCGCCUCAUGCGCGCCAAGGUCGUCGCUCUCAUGGCCAUGGUCAGCUCGGCGCUCGUCAAUGUUGUCACGGUCACCCACCAUCCUCGCCCUUCCGCCGUUGCUGGCACUGCUCGUGCUCCCGGCCCCGAGGAGGUGUACGCGGCAAUAGACUCAGUGUUGCCCGUUGCUGCGAAGUCUGCGGUGGUGGUGAAUCUGUAACAGAGAGCGGCGUACGGUAGGCUGAGGAGCUCAUCGAUGAGGUCAAUGGCGUAAAAAGGUAUAUCUUUUUCGUGGUGGCGAAUCCAUAACAGAGAGCGGCGUACGGUAGGCUGAGGAGCUCACUGAUGAGGUCAAUGGCGUAAAAAAGUAUAUCUUUUUCUACUCUUUUUGUGUGUCUGUACUCUGUACUCUAUAAUAUGUAGUUUUUUUGCAAUUCAGGCCACCGGUGCUACAACCCUGCUAAGUUCUUACAUAGACAAGGGGUUUCUUAUGAGUUUCAUGUGAAAUUAUUCUUGUGAUGGUGUGUGAAGGAAAAUGGAGCAGUUAUUGUGCAAGGAUGAUGGGGGCUUCGGUGCAGAAAGAGACUACAAUCCAUCGAAAGAGAAGCAGUAAAGUACCAGCGUGCUGUGGAGGGCUAAUGAAAAGCUUGAGAAGCGGGUCCUCUGUUUGAAGGUAAGGGCAUGCAUGCAGCAACAUUGUAUGCUAAGAAAAAUGUGGGAUUUAAUUUCAAACAAAAUGAGAACCGAGAAACCAUGCCUUCUACUAAUUUCGCUUCUGUAGUUUCAAACAAAAUGAGAAAUUAGAAACCAUGUCUAUUAUCGAUUUGUCUUCGGUUAUUAGAUUUACAGGGAAGCUAUGACUUUGAUAUCUAAUGCCUAACUUUGAAGGAAACUCAUUGGAUGGAGCUAACUUGUAUUGUAUUAUUCUUUUAUGGAGUUGUUGAACUUGUCGAUGUGUACUGAUUUUUUCUCUUAUGUUUGUAGCCAUGCUCUUUAACUGGUUCUUUGUCAGGUUGUGCAGUUUGUGCAAACCAUAGGAUUACUUAGUAUUGUGUAUAUUAUGUUUUGUAGUGAUCUGUCAGUUUGGUGUUUCACAUGUGACUUGUACCUAGAAGUUUAGGCCAUUUUAAAAUUGCGUCCAGUAUAUGAAGUUGCACAUUUGUUCAAAUCGGGAGAACGCUUUCCAAUCACUUAGAAACACUAGAUUUCAGCACUGGUGAAAGUGGAAGUUCAUCUAGGGCUUAGUUAUCUGUAUUCAAGUAAUGAGUUUCUUUUCAUGAUGCUUCAAUCAGAUCCAGACAGACAGUUGUGUAGUAUCCUGGCACAUCUUAAGCUUCAAUGCAAUAUAUUUUAUUUGAGAAGUCGUGUGCAGUUUUUUUGUCUUCUCUCUGAUAAACCAUCCCUUCCAUCUUAAAACUAACAGUGAAACCUAUAAUAGAUACGUUCCCAUGGCAUAUGAUGAUUACUUGGAGGAAGUUGUAUACUUGUAUGGUUAGUUCCACACCGUGCCAAGCAAUUUUUAUAAUGGAACCUAGAAUAAGUGCAUGUGGAUGCUUGUUCUAACAUGACAUUUUACUUGCAUAUAAACUAAUAGAAAUGGUCAAUGGGUUGACCAUAAGACUCUAUAGGCUGCUGCUGACAAGGUCAGUCUUUAACUUUAUACAAUCCAAUUUGUGUUCCAGCUUGCAUAUCUUGUGUAUAGGGGCUGACAAGAAUGCUAAUGGUUGUAGCCGUCGUUAUGUAAUAUAAGAGGGACAAUCUAUGAUUAUGUUCCUUUCGUUUUGAUUGGCUAAAAAGGUUUAGAUUUGUGUGAUGGAAAUAGGUAUACGCGACCAGAGGUUGCAUAGGGUAUUUUUUAACUUCAAUGAUAUGUAGUAUAUUACAAUGGCCAAAAGCUCCCCUUGGCAGCUGCUCAGAUUGGGCAAGCUUUUAGAAAUGAGGUUUGUGUUUUCUGUCACAUUUCUACAAAUGGCUACUACUAAUUGUUGUGUUAUAUGCCAUUCCGCUCAUUUAUGGCAUGCUUCGGUCGCUGCUUAUUCACUGCCUCAAAGGUUAACACUUACUGACAAUUUUUUCUUUCCAAUUUGAUAUAUUCCUUUUGUUCUUUUGUUUAUAUAUGCUUCUUACCCUGGAUAGAAUUGUAAGCUAUUACACUAUUGCUAUUUAGAGAGAACUGUUAAUAAUGAGACACUUGGCUACUUCAUCGAAGGGCCUAUCUUUUCUUGACAUGCUACUGAUAUUACCAUGAACUAAAUCGUUAAAUAUGUAUUCUAAUAGAAUAUUUGGUGUAAAAGGGAAACCUUGUAAAAAAUGCUAACAUAUAUGAUAUAUAAUUGAAAAUAGGGCAAUUGCCAAUUAGAAAGGGGAAUCUAGAUGCACCUGUUAUUUUUUGGGACUUCAAUAGAUAAGAAGCAUUAUUUGCAUUAGGUUCUUUGCAUACAUGAUAGAAAUUAUGAGGCGGAUUGAUUGAACCUACUCUAAUAACACAUGCAAUUGAUGAAAAUAGAAAAAUCGUUAUCACACUAUUGGCCUACAUACCUAAUAGAAAUAGAUGAAGAUACUUGUUCAGAUGAUCAAGACUAAUAAGCUUUGAUAUUGUUUGCACAUAAGGUAGUCCGAGCCUGACCAUGCAUGGCAGCACAGAUUAUUCAAAGCACUUGGCUUUCUACUCUACUUGGGGACGUUCUCUUUCUUUGCAUGCGUGACUCCAUGCAUUUAGUGCAGGAUUUCCUUUUUUCCUGCUACCUGCUGGGUGUGUAGGGCAGACUAAUUCCUCCAUGGUUUAUUAGGUUCUCCUUCAGCGCACACACGAUUGCAGCUUGGUGCAUCUUAAGUCAUUUUCACCAUAUUUGGCAACCAAUUAAACCGGGUGUGCAUUUCCGUUUCAUAUACAUAUAAAAAUCAGAGAUUCAACUGAACCCUAAUGCACCAGCGAGCAUUGUGUCUGUGCAUAGCAAUGUUCAUGUUCAGUUGCAGCGAGCUACCUAGCAGUAGCCCUAGGGUAGCGAGGGGAAUGACAGUCCCUCUUGCCUCACUUUUCUCUCUCCCUAACGUCUGCAGUUCUCCUCAACAAAUUUCUAUGACUGCUGGAACUUUACUCACACCUCAUCACUUCUCUCUUAUGCAGUGGAAGCGGUUGAAAAAGAUGUCCGAUACAGCUGGCAAGCUUUACUUCCGAUGACAUCUGUGCUUACCAGGAUGGGCACGUCACCAUCGGUCUGCCUUUUGAUUCAAUUGGAAAAUGCUGCUACUGAAGAACUUUAGCCGUUGGACUGAAACUCUACUUGGAUAUUACCUGGUGUCAAUUCCGUAAGCAACUUGCACUAUUAUUUAUGAGCUCGCGCCGAACUGUUUGAAUGCUACAUGCUCAUCAGUACGAAGUAAAAGUCGUAUGCUAAUCUGAUUUCUAAGAAAUUCCCCUUCUGGUCUGUCAAUUGUCUGUGCUCCUUAUCUUUCAAUCCAAAUGGCUUUAUGUAAUCCAUUGUAGCACAUUUCAGUUGCUAACUGAGAUUUCUAAUCAUACGGAAACAAUUGAAGCCGACAUG